CCCGAUAUUUUCUUGGUUUAAUUUCUUUAAAUGUGGAAAAAAAAAAGAAAAAAAAUGGAAAUUAAGUGUAAAUAUAAAUAUAUAUAUUUAUAUAUUAAAUAGUUUUAUUAAAUUAAUUAAAGAAAAGAAAGAAAAGAAAGGACAAAAAGAAGAAAAGGAGAAGAAAAUUUCAUUUUCACUUUUCUUCUUCUUCUUCGCUUCCCUUCACCGCCAAGUUUGAAGACAUCCAAGUUCCCUUUAUUUUUUUUUCUUUUUCCUUCUUCAAUUUGCAGAGAACUUCUAAGAGAGAGUUUGGAAGAAGAAGAGAAAUUUUACUAGAAUUUUUAGGUUGAAGAAGAGGAGGAGAACUCAAGCAAAGUGUAUCAAUGGCUGAAUUUUAGUUCAUUCUGCACAUCACUGGUUUUUAAUUCGGUUUGAACUCUUCAAAAGGAAUUAAGAGGGCAGUUGGUUUUCACUCGAAAUUAGGAGGUCUCUGGUUUUUCUUGUAUUUCAGAGUGUAUCGGUGGAGUUAGAAUUUCUAUUUGGUAUGGUUGGAAAGCUUAUUCAAUUUACUACAACUUUCAUGAAGAAAUUGUAAACCAAAAACGACUAAAAAUUGGUUAAAUUGUAGGAACAAGUUAAAGAGGUCGUGUGCGUGCGAUUCUGGAAGUGGUUCUGUUUUGAGGGUUAUAUGUGUUUAUGCACGGGGAAUCAGAUUUAUAUGUCUUCAGGCCGAGAAGAAUUAAACCGAGCUUAUAGACCAAGGAUCUAGCCCAAGACUGUGAGUGACAAAACCAACUUUGAAAUAUUUUCCAUAACUGUUAUUAUGAUUGAAUGCGAUAAAUGUUUAUUUACGAAGCCAUGAAAGGUAUUUGAAUUUCAUGACUAUUUUCAAGUAUACAUUUGGAGACUAGAUUUCUUAAAGAAAUUUAUGCUAGCACGUAGAUAUUAAAUGUUUGGAAAGUAUUUAAACCACAAUAUUUUAAGCAAAGCAUGAAUUAGUAUGAAGUUUUGUUUUAAGAACUACAAUUUUCCACGAAAGAGCUGAGUAAAGUUCGAGCUUUGUGUAAAAUUUAUAAGCAGGCAUGUUUUAAUAUUUUAUGAUGAUUUAUGAAAUUUUCAUUAACUACAUGACUGAGAUCUUGAGCCUGAGGCUAGAGAUUACCGUGUGCACACUGGUUAGAUUUCGUUGUUGACGUUGAGUGUACUCCGUAACAACGAUGCUGUCGUGAGUGCUGGGCGGGCCCCACUACGACAAAGACGAUGGGAGUGCUGGGCGGGCCCCACUACAUCGUAGUGCUUGUAAACGUUGUUGUACUAGGUGUACCCUACACAACGUAGAUUCGUCAUGUUAGUUAAAAUGCUUCGAUAUACUUGAUAUGCCUUGCUAGAUUUCAAUGAUGAACAUGCUGAGUAUUUAAGGAAACUAUUCUUACUAUUACACAUUUACAUUUACGACUUGUAUAAACAGAUUUAUAUGUGUAAAGUUUUCACGUGCUCUUAUCUUUAAAUUCAUAGUUUUAAACUGAGUCACUCACUGAGCUCCAUAGCUCACCCUUUCCAAAAUGUUU